CAUAGGUUUGGUCCCAGCCUUCCUGUUAACUCUUAAUAAACUUACACAUGCAAGCAUCUACACCCCAGUGAGAAUGCCCUCUAGGUUAUUAAAACUAAGAGGAGCUGGCAUCAAGCACACACCCUGUAGCUCACGACGCCUUGCUUAACCACACCCCCACGGGAAACAGCAGUGACAAAAAUUAAGCCAUAAACGAAAGUUUGACUAAGUUAUAUUAAUUAGGGUUGGUAAAUCUCGUGCCAGCCACCGCGGUCAUACGAUUAACCCAAGCUAACAGGAGUACGGCGUAAAACGUGUUAAAGCACCAUACCAAAUAGGGUUAAAUUCUAACUAAGCUGUAAAAAGCCAUGAUUAAAAUAAAAAUAAAUGACGAAAGUGACCCUACAAUAGCCGACGCACUAUAGCUAAGACCCAAA
rnacentral:rRNA from 1 species